CCCUGAGGCUUAAAACCUUCAACAACGCUUCCUCUGGGGUGUAAGCUCUUCUUACUGGCUCACCCUGUGGAGGGAGUGUACUUUCACCUUCAAUAAACCUUUGAUCUUGCUGCUCCUUUUGCGUGUCCUGCUCAAUUCUUUGUUCAAGACACUAAGAACUUGGAUAAGACCCUUCAUCGAGUAACAAUUUUGUAUUAUUUAACCCAAACUUCUGCCACAUGAGGAAGUAAGAAAAAUCUUUCCCUCACUGGCAUCUGCUUUUGUCUGAAACUUCUCAUCCAAACAGCUUAGACUUUCUUGGUAUUCUGGCAUAAAUACUCUGAAGAACCCAUUAGAAGACUUGAAAGAGUACAGAAAGAGGAAAUCUCAAGAAUAGGUAAGAUUCUGCUUUGUGAGAAAGGGAAGUCGUGUGUCUGCUCUCCGAAACUCUGUUCUCAGUAAAAGCACCAUCAGGUCGAGAAAACAUGUACGUCAAUCAGUUCCUCUUUGCUUAAAUGAAUUCCGCAUGAAUUUGUCAUUUGCAACCAAGAGUUCUGACAAAUACAUUGCACAAGAAAAGAGAAAUCAUGAAUCAUGAAAAAUGGAUCUUAAUUCCUUUAAGAUGAUGGAGCCAGCAGCAAAUCACAUCUCUGUGCUGGGAACAGAGACAUCUAGAGAACAACUUCUUCGUGAGAAGAAAGAGAAGAGCUCUGGGAAUCAAGAAAGAACCAGUAGGAAAGCUAAAAAUCACAGAGAACAGAAGACAACCAGAGAAAGGAAUGAAGCAGUGUGGAAAGCUAACUCUGACUCCAGGGUAGAGGGGAUCUCACCCCCAAACACAAGGACAUCAGAGAUGAGAAACCAGGAGUUAUAACACUGUACAAUCCAACGUGUCUCCCAUAUGUGUGGAAGAAUGAGAAGCAAGAAAAACCAGUUUCAAUCUAUAUUGUGUCCAGUGGGCAGGGAGCAUAUUUGGCACUAGGCUUCCUGCUAGAGAUUUCAGAUAUUGCCAGGCUGAAACAGUUCAUGCCUCUGGUUGUUGGGACAUAAACAGACAACUUACCAAGAUUUCCUCCCAGAGACAAAGUGGCUUCUCUUUGGAGAAGAUGUUCUGCUCCCUGAGUGUGAUGUGGUGGAAGGGAUUGAAAUCCAAGCAUAUGGGCUGGGAAAUGGUCCACCAAGAAUUUGGGAUCCAAGGAAGGAAUAAGCUCUGCUGACAGAGUCAUCCCAUGCCAAGGACAAAAAACCUAUGGAUGCCAAAUGGGACACAGAGUGAACAGCCUCUUCCAGGGAUACCUGAGAAAGCAGAAGACUGACCUUAGCAGUUGUUGUAUUACCUCCUCACAGAGGGGUCUGGACAAAGCCGUUGUCAAAGCAUGGGUUUCGCUCCGAUGUUGUUCUGCUUGCUCCAUCUGGGACUCAGAUGCAUUCUCCUUUACCACUGAAUUCCUCAACUUGGACCACACCACAUCUGCUACCUGGAAAGUCUGACAAACAGCCUGGAAUAUCUGCCUACGAGCAAAUAUUUAUACUGUUGGAGUUACAUGUAUCAUUUAGCCUAUCUUACCUCAGAGUGUUUUUGCUUUACACUGAGUCAGAUACAGAACUUAAAACUUCUUAGUUUUGUGAAUGUUGAAUAGUAAAUUUUUUGUUUUGGUCAGCCUAUCCUGUCUUCAGAGGUGCUGAUUUCAUCAAUUACAAGCAAUAAUUAUUCAACAUUCACAAAACUAAACUAAAAUAAAUCAUAUAUAUGAUAUAUAUUAUAUAAUAUAUAGUAUAUAUAUGUAUGUAUUUUUAAAAACUUAAACUGGGCAUAGUGGAACAUGCCCAUAAUCCUGGCAUUCUGGGAGGCUGAGGCAGGAGGAUCACAAGUUCAAGUCCAGCCUGUUAGCAACUUAGUGAGACCCUGUCUCAAAAUAAAAAAAUUAAAAGUAGGACUAAGGAUGUAGCUUAGUGCAGAGGCCCUGGGUUCAAUCCCCAGGACAGAAAAAAACAAUUAAAAAUCCAGCUGAUCUUGGGGAUAAGACUAAGGCACUUCUGGUUGUUUCUGAAUGUUCCAUCUUAUCCCACCAUUUCUCAGCUUUUCUGCGUUAUAACUGGUCUCCUUUAGCUAGCCAUAAAGAGAGAAUUCCUUUUUUCAGACCAGUGAACUGACUGAUCACAUCACAUCAGCUCUAUUCUUCAGGUCAUGGCUUUGCAGCUGAGUUGUUUUAUUUACAGGUAUUUCUCGGUUUUGUUUGUUUGUUUUGCUUUGCAUUUAUAUUUGGAAAUCUAGUUGAAAAAAACAACAUUACUGGAUCCAGGAGCACCUUAUGAGAGUACACGUACCUUGCUGAUAGAAAUAAAAUCUAGAAUCUAUGACUCUCUUCUUUAGUUCCUUUCACCUGCAAGAAGAUAAGGUGCCCAGUCUAAUAGCUGAGGCAACACGUCUAUGUUUACCAUGUUGUACAUGCUUUAAUUUCCCUUAGCAGUCAUUCACCAGAGAGAGAAGGAGGAGCAACCUACAGGAAUCAGUGAUUUCUGGCAUUAAAAUUGCUGGCCACAUCAGGCUGCUUCUCACACAUGGCCCCAGUAAGACCAGAUAAAUUUCCACGGAAUCAUUCAACCUGUCUGAUUACUGUUUCCUGCUGUCAGAAGAGAUUCAAAUUUCCUACAUUUUAGGAAAUAUAUCUCUAUAUGUACAGCCUAUUGGUUCUGUUUUUCUGCAGAACCCGAAUACAAAUCUCAUAAUGAUUUAUACAAGAUCAAAUUAAAUUUCAUGAAAAGUUUGGAGAAUCUGAUUCUAUUCUAGUCUUCUUAGGAAAAUUAAAUACAUAAAUUAAUUCAAAAAAUUCUAAAUUAAAAAUGUGAGUAAUGACACGAGGCUAGAUAAAUUAGUUAUUUAAAUAUAUUAUAAAAGCUAUGAUAAUUAAAAUAUGGCACUGCUAAGAGAAGAAAAAUAUAUAGAUAUAGGAUCCAGAAUAGGCAGCCCAGAAAUUCACUUUGUUCCAUAUAAGAAGUGGCUAGACACUCACAGAUAUAUAUCAGAAGGAAGUGAAGUCAGCAUACAAAAGAUACCUGCAUGCCCAUGUGUAUUGUGCCACUUUUCACAACAGCCAAAGUAGGAAUCAGCCUCAGUGCCUUAAUAAUGGAUAAAUGUGAUACACACACACACACACACACACACACACACACACACACAAUAGAGUACUAUUCAGCCAUAAAGAAGAACGAAAUCCGUCCAUUUCCCUCAAAGUGAAUGGAACUGGAGACAUUGUGUGAAACUAGUCCCAGAAAGUUAAAAUUCACAUGCUUUCUUUUAUGUAAGCAAUCUAAAAGUAAAGACAAAUAAAUGCAAACGCAAAGGAGAGAGGACAGGAAACCAGAAGGUCGAUUUCCAGUGACAGGAAAGGGGAAGGGAGACAAAAGAAAGGGUAUGAAAGUCAUCAGACUUUGUUAAACGCGUGUACUAAUGUAUCAUUAUGAAUCUCAGUAUUGUUACUGCUAAUCUGUACCAAUAAAAAUAAAAUUACCUAUUUUUAA
rnacentral:lncRNA from 1 species